rnacentral:ncRNA from 2 species
UGGGGGUGAGAAAGAGUGGCUCGCGAGCGGCAGUGGAGGAACCCGGUGGGAGACCGGGACGGUCCCGCCACUGUGACCGGGGGUUCACGCCCCUGGAAGUCAGGAGACUCCGGCCGCUCGCACCUUCUGCA